UGACACAGCCAUAUCACCCUGCAGCCCAAGACUGGUUGCCCACUGAAGCUAAGCAGGGUUGAGCCUGGUUAGUACCUGGAUGGGAGACCUCCUGGGAAAACUAGGUUGCUGCUGGAA
rnacentral:rRNA from 1 species